AUUUGAAAAUCAAGGAAAUUCGCAGGGCAAGGAGGGCAUAUGAGAAACAAGGAUAUAGAAUGAAAAAGAAAAUUGAAGCAGGUGAAAGAGCUUUUGAGAAUAUUGAGAAGAUACUGGAUGGGAAAUGUGAACCUGAAUUAUUUAAAGGUAGGGGACCAAUGGACAUACUUCUAACAGCAGCUUUAUAUGGAGAAAAGUUUUCUGGUGUUAGAAAUACAUGACUUUUUAAGAGGGG
rnacentral:misc_RNA from 1 species